CAUGGAUACGGAGAGUGAUCUACAAAAAUGCUGGGACUGGAUGAUUUCAAGGAUGUACUUAUCAAUGGUACAAUAAAACCAUCUUUUUCAGAAACUACUAAA
ensembl:lncRNA novel transcript